GACGAACGCUGGCGGCAGGCCUAACACAUGCAAGUCGAGCGGCAGCGCGUCCGACCACCCUCGGGUGGUCGGAUGGCGGCGAGCGGCGGACGGGUGAGGAAUGCAUCGGAAUCUGCCUCGUUGUGGGGGAUAACGUAGGGAAACUUACGCUAAUACCGCAUACGACCUACGGGUGAAAGUGGGGGACCUUCGGGCCUCACGCGAUGAGAUGAGCCGAUGCCGGAUUAGCUAGUUGGCGGGUAAAGGCCCACCAAGGCGACGAUCCGUAGCUGGUCUGAGAGGAUGAUCAGCCACACUGGAACUGAGACACGGUCCAGACUCCUACGGGAGGCAGCAGUGGGGAAUAUUGGACAAUGGGGGCAACCCUGAUCCAGCCAUGCCGCGUGUGUGAAGAAGGCCUGGUUGUAAGCACUUUGUUGGG
rnacentral:rRNA from 1 species